rnacentral:rRNA from 1 species
CCCUUAGAUGUCCUGGGCUGCACGCGCGCUACACUGAUGUGUCCAGUAAGCACCUAACCUCUUCCGAAAGGAACGGGUAACCUUUGCAAAGCACAUCGUGAUGGGGAUAGAUUAUUGCAAUUAUUAAUCUUGAACGAGGAAUUCCUAGUAAACGCAGAUCAUCAAUCUGCAUUGAUUACGUCCCUGCCCUUUGUACACACCGCCCGUCGCACCUACCGAUUGGAUGGUCCGGUGAAGCCUCGGGAUUGUGGUUCUUGCCGCUUUAUUGUGGCGUGACCGCGAGAACUUGUCUAAACCUUAUCAUCUAGAGGAAGGUGAAGUCGUAACA